GCCGGUGUUUAUUAUGAUGAGGAUCCACCUGUUCCCAUACCGAACACAGUAGUUAAGCUCAUUUAUGCCGAAGAUACUUGGCGGGUGACUGCCCGGGAAAAUAGGUCUUCGCCGGC
rnacentral:rRNA from 1 species